rnacentral:tRNA from 1 species
GGUCCCGUAGCUCAGUGGUUAGAGCGUCUGCCUGUCGAGCGGAAGGCCGCCGGUUCGAUUCCGGCCGGGACCG